CAGAGUUCGUGCCCUCACGGGUAGAUCUCCCACCCUGUGUUAUUAUACCUUUGUUGCUUUGGCGGGCCGCCCUCGGCUACCGGCCCCGGCUGGUACGCGCCCGCCGGAGGACCAACCAAAACUCUUUAUGUAUACCCCCUCGCGGGUUUUUUACAAUCUGAGCCAUCUCGGCGCCCCUCGUGGGCGUUUCGAAAAUGAAUCA
rnacentral:misc_RNA from 1 species